rnacentral:rRNA from 1 species
UCCGUAGGUGUCAAGCGUUGUCCGGAUUUAUUGGGCGUAAAGCGCCCGCAGGCGGCUUGCCAAGUUCGAUGUGAAAUCUCCCGGCUCAACUGGGAGGGUGCGCCGAAAACUGGGAGGCUAGAGUGCGGGAUGGGAGAGUGGAAUUCCAGGUGUAGCGGUGAAAUGCGUAGAUAUCUGGAGGAAUACCGGUGGCGAAGGCGGCAUCCUGGACCGAGAUUGACGCUGAGGAGCGAAAGCUAGGGGAGCAAACGGG